UACGGAGGGUGCAAGCGUUAUCCGGAUUCACUGGGUUUAAAGGGUGCGUAGGUGGUCUAGUAAGUCCGUGGUGAAAUCUCUGAGCUUAACUCGGAAACUGCCGUGGAUACUAUUAGUCUUGAAUCUCGUGGAGGUAAGCGGAAUAUGUCAUGUAGCGGUGAAAUGCUUAGAUAUGACAUAGAACACCGAUAGCGAAGGCAGCUUGCUACACGAGUAUUGACACUGAGGCACGAAAGCGUGGGGAUCAAACAGG
rnacentral:rRNA from 1 species